UGAGGAAUAUUGGUCAAUGGGCGAGAGCCUGAACCAGCCAAGUCGCGUGAAGGAAGAAGGAUCUAUGGUUCGUAAACUUCUUUUGCAGGGGAAUAAAGUGCAGGACGUGUCCUGUUUUGUAUGUACCCUGAGAAUAAGGAUCGGCUAACUCCGUGCCAGCAGCCGCGGUAAUACGGAGGAUCCGAGCGUUAUCCGGAUUUAUUGGGUUUAAAGGGUGCGUAGGUGGUGUAAUAAGGCAGCGGUGAAAGUUUGCAGCUUAACUGGAAAAAUGCCGGUGAAACGGUUAGACUUGAGUGUAAAUGAGGUAGGCGGAAUGCGUGGUGUAGCGGUGAAAUGCUUAGAUAUCACGCAGAACUCCGAUUGCGAAGGCAGCUUACCAAGCUACAACUGACACUGAAGCACGAAAGCGUGGGGAUCAAACA
rnacentral:rRNA from 1 species